rnacentral:lncRNA from 1 species
CUGGGUUUCAGUCGCGGCUCCGAGGUUGGCAACAAAGAGGGAAAGAAGGAGGAAAAGCAGGCCGGGGAGGGGAGGAAGAGAACCGCGCGGAGGCCGCGGCGCCGAGAGCCCCAGAACUUCCAAUUCUACCCAGAAGCUUUUUUCGUCGUGUUUUUCUCUUAGACAUGAUCCUCUCUGAGGUUGGUCCUGGGCUUCCAUACGUGAUUCAUGGAAGAGGUCUCAGCCCCAAGAGCCCCUGAGGGUACUGUCCACUCCCCCUGGAAACUUCCAGAACCUGACGUGGGGCUGAAGACAUAGAGGUAAUGGGGAUGGGCUGGUGGGGCGCUGGCUGGGACAAUGUGUGGAGCCCUUGUUUUCAGAGCUACAGAUGCUUGUCAGCUGACAGUUCGUUUCCAGCAUCCACAGUGGACCUCCUUUGGGGGAGCAUUUACCUGCCAAUGAACCCCAA